CGGAUUGCAGCCUGCAACUCGGCUGCAUGAAGCUGGAAUCGCUAGUAAUCGCGGAUCAGAAUGCCGCGGUGAAUACGUUCCCGGGUCUUGUACACACCGCCCGUCACACCAUGGGAGUCGGGAAUGCCCGAAGUCAGUGACCCAACCGAAAGGGGGGAGCUGCCGAAGGCAGGCCUGGUAACUGGGGUGAAGUCGUAACAAGGUAAC
rnacentral:rRNA from 1 species